AAAUGGUAAAAACCCACAUUGAAAAUUUUGUGAUUAAUGGUUUAAAUUUUUUUGUUCAAGCAAGAUACAAAUGAUCAUAAAUCGUAUGAAUAUGAAGUCUCAUUAACAAAUAUUCAUAUUAUAUAUAUAUAUAUAUAUAUUAAUAUCAUUUAUAUUAUAUUUAUAUAAUAUAAAAUAUGUUAAUUUUAAAAUUUGCACUGAAAAAUAAUUGAGAUCUUAAUAUUAGAUGAUAACUUAUGGAAAGGAAAUAAGAAAUAAAUCAAGAGCAGAAAAACCUAAUCUUUUUUUCAUCAUUUUAUAAUCGAUGUUGUCUAUCUGGUUUUAGUGUCGGCCACAAAACUUAAUUUCCUUUAUAUUAAGUCUUAAAAAUAAUUAAAAUACGAUGUAAUACGUUAAUUUUUCAACAACGGUGGUACAUUUAAGAUACCAACAUUUUUAUUCGUUAUUUUACAAUCGAUAAAUAUUGUAGUGUUGUAAAAUGUUAAAACUAUUUAAUGAACAAAUAUUAAUAUAAAAAACUCAUUCCGCGCAUGCGCGCGGGUUAUCAUCUAAUCUAAACUAUACUAAAAGCACAAUAUAAAGCCCUAUGAAGCCCUCCACGUCGGAUAGAAAAAACGACCAAUAGUAAUGCAGCAAACAGCCACGUCAUCUGUCAUCUUCGAUUUAUUUUGUUUUGGGCUUAGUUUGUUUUCGGCCUGUUUUCUGCAUCUUAUAGAUGAGUAUUGUUUUUGUUUUGUUACGUUUUGUUUCGACUGAAUAUGGGCUUUCGCAUUUACAUUAUAUUAUAAGCCCAAGAAACUCAUCCGUAAAAGAAGAUGACGUCUCCUCUUCACUUUGUUUUUACGUUUCACUCUAGCAACCCUAGCCAUACUGAUUCCCUCCCCACUCGAUUCAGCUGAGAAACGGCAGUCGUAAUGGCACUCAAGCCUCAAUCUCCACUACUUCAUCUUCAAUGCUUCUUUUCUUCAUCUUCAAGCUCUCAGCAUGGCGUAUAUAUAUAGAGGGUUUGGCAGUCUUAGCCCCAUCUAUUUGGUCUGCCUUUAGUCGUAGAACCCUAAAUCUCUCUCACCAGAAUCCUAUAAGCACCAACUUCGGUUCUCGGAAGGUCGCAAUGUCAAGAAAGGUGGAGAGUUAAUGGAUGUCGAUCUGGUCGUGCUAAUGGAAAGGGACCUUAUCCUGAUGGAGUUUUUCCGCUUCUGCAAUUACGACCACCUCAUAUUGAUGGUCAGUCAGUUCUGAAUUCUUUGACAGUGUCAGAACUUAAUUCAUGUGUUCUCAAAUUCCCAUCCGCAGUAAAUUUCUAAGUCAGUCCCUUGGAUUAAAUAUUUUUUUCUUAUAUUUUAGUAACUCAUAUCCGUUUUUAAGAAGGUACCGUGUUGAGAUUAAUGUAUCAGAUACGUCAGACUCUGAUAUGUUCGCUCCUCUCAUACACACAUGGAAUUGCACAUCCAAUUUAUACAUCUCAAGGGUCACAAAACCUGAGGGUUUGUGUUAGGAAAGACUGUGCUAAAAGAAGCUGUUGGAUUGGAAAAGGAUGACAAGGGAACAAAGGGAGAUAGAAUCAAUGAAGAGAGCCAAUUCAAUGGAAUAGUUUUGUGGUGACAAAGCCAGGACAGGCUGCUCUCUUGACCAAAUUGUGAUACACAACAAAUGUAAGAUUCUGAUAAUUCUCAUGUACUAAAUUUUUGUCAUCAGGAAGAAUGCUUUUCAUUACUCCUCACAAUGACUACGCUGAGAAAGAUCGUGUAACCCUCAAAUUAAUAUACUUUCCUAAUUGCAGGCUUGAGAUUUAGUUUCCAUUGUAAGCAUACCAAUAAUGGUUUGAAGCAAUUUAUUAAAGUAUUAACUACUGAUGCAUUCUCUUCAGUUGUUUCGUGCAGACUAUUACGUCAGAUGAUCAGAGAAACAACAGCUCACAUGUGAAAACUGAUACAGAGAGAAAUAUCUCACCUAUGCAUUUUUGGAGGAUCCUUUUGCACAUACAUCUCAACCUUGGCGACUGGUUUCAUUCCGCAGCUCCUGCAAAUAUAUUUGUUGUAUGGAGUAUAUUACUAUCAAUCUUCUUCCCAAUGUCUUUAUGUUUGAGACUGUUAAACCCCGUUUUAGUAAUCUGUGAUUCUAUUUCAUCUCUCGAGAUUACUUUGUUUUAUGAAUGCUUUUCCAUAUUUAGAGUGAGAGAGAUAAGCAAAGUUGUGAAAUGUUAUUUAGAUGACAUGUAUUUAAAUGAUUAUUAAACUUAUGUAUAAUUUUAUUUUACAAUA